GAUGAACGCUGGCGGCGUGCCUAAUACAUGCAAGUCGAGCGAACAGACGAGGAGCUUGCUCCUCUGACGUUAGCGGCGGACGGGUGAGUAACACGUGGAUAACCUACCUAUAAGACUGGGAUAACUUCGGGAAACCGGAGCUAAUACCGGAUAAUAUAUUGAACCGCAUGGUUCAAUAGUGAAAGACGGUUUUGCUGUCACUUAUAGAUGGAUCCGCGCCGCAUUAGCUAGUUGGUAAGGUAACGGCUUACCAAGGCAACGAUGCGUAGCCGACCUGAGAGGGUGAUCGGCCACACUGGAACUGGGACACGGUCCAGACUCCUACGGGAGGCAGCAGUAGGGAAUCUUCCGCAAUGGGCGAAAGCCUGACGGAGCAACGCCGCGUGAGUGAUGAAGGUCUUCGGAUCGUAAAACCCUGUUAUUAGGGAAGAACAAAUGUGUAAGUAACUAUGCACGUCUUGACGGUACCUAAUCAGAAAGCCACGGCUAACUACGUG
rnacentral:rRNA from 1 species